rnacentral:misc_RNA from 1 species
AAGUCGUAACAAGGUUCCUUCCACACCUAUAGAAGCCUUACACAGCGAUUCAAAAUAAUCGUGCAGUCUUAUCUAUUUUGCAUAAGGCGACGCUUCCAGUUUGCUGGGAUACUUUAUUCACGUAGAGAACCAGCAGCCAUGAUAUCCAUGGUUCACAGAUCAAACCGAGGCGGUCAACCAGUGUCGUUUGAUGAAGAUAUGACCGAGUCUCAUCCUUUACGGAAUGGGAGAGGUAGCAUCCAGCUAUCAUAAACACGUUCCGUAGGUGAACCUGCGGAAGGAUCAUUACAGAGUUAGGGUUCAUCUGAGCCCAACCUCCAACCAUUUGUUUAACUACUUUGUUGCUUUGGCAGGCCCGUUCCUUUCGAGGAGCAGCCGGAGGGGUUUUAGGUCACCUCUGGCCAGUGCUUGCCAGUAGCCAAAUCAAAUUCUUCUUUUAACCAUGUCGUCUGAUACCUAAUUAUAAAUAUAAUUAAAA